rnacentral:rRNA from 1 species
GAUGAACGCUGGCGGCAUGCCUAAUACAUGCAAGUCGAACGAGAGGAAGGAAAGCUUGCUUUCCUGAAUCUAGUGGCGAACGGGUGAGUAACACGUAGGUAACCUGCCCAUGUGCCCGGGAUAACUUCUGGAAACGGAUGCUAAAACCGGAUAGGUAGCAGACAAGCAUUUGACUGCUAUUAAAGUGGCCUUGGCCAUGAACAUGGAUGGACUUGCGGUGCAUUAGCUAGUUGGGGAGGUAACGGCCCACCAAGGCGACGAUGCAUAGCCGGCCUGAGAGGGCGGACGGCCACAUUGGGACUGAGACACGGCCCAAACUCCUACGGGAGGCAGCAGUAGGGAAUUUUCGUCAAUGGGGGGAACCCUGAACGAGCAAUGCCGCGUGAGUGAGGAAGGUCUUCGGAUCGUAAAGCUCUGUUGUAAGAGAAAAACGGCACUCAUAGGGAAUGAUGAGUGAGUGAUGGUAUCUUACCAGAAAGUCACGGCUAACUACGUGCCAGCAGCCGCAGUAACAC